rnacentral:rRNA from 1 species
GACGAACGCUGGCGGCGCGCCUAACACAUGCAAGUCGAACGAAGUGUUUGGACAGAUUUCUUCGGAAUGAAGACCAAAUUACUUAGUGGCGGACGGGUGAGUAACAUGUGAGCAACCUACCUUAGUGAGGGGGAUAACAUUCGGAAACGGAUGCUAAUACCGCGUAAUGUCAAGAAACCACAUGGUUUUUUGAAGAAAGGGUCUUCGGACUCGCACUUAGAUGGGCUCGCACCUGAUUAGAUAGUUGGUAAGGUAACGGCUUACCAAGUCAACGAUCAGUAGCCGGACUGAGGUGUCGAUCGGCCACAUUGGGGCUGAGGCACGGCCCAGACUCCUACGGGAGGCAGCAGUGGGGAAUAUUGCACAAUGGGGGGAACCCUGACGCAGCAACGCCGCGUGAAGGAAGAAGGCUUUCGGGUCGUAAAGAUCUUUAAUCAGGGACGAAGGAAGUGACGGUACCUGAAGAAUAAGCUCCGGCUAACUACGUGCCAGCCGCCGCCGUAACAC